rnacentral:rRNA from 1 species
CCCAGCACCGAAUCCCGCGGUCGAUACGGUCGCCGGGAAAUGUGGUGUUAGGGAGGGUCCAUUAUCCCGAGAUCAUGCGGCGCGUCCAAGUCCUUCUUGAACGGGGCCACAGCCCAUAGAGGGUGCCAGGCCCGUAGCGACCGCUGCUGAUCGCGGGAGGAUUUCUCCUCAGAGUCGGGUUGCUUGAGAGUGCAGCUCUAAGUGGGUGGUAAACUCCAUCUAAGGCUAAAUAUGACCACGAGACCGAUAGCGAACAAGUACCGUGAGGGAAAGUUGAAAAGCACUUUGAAGAGAGAGUUCAAGAGUACGUGAAACCGUUUAGGGGUAAACCUGAGAAACCCGAAAGGUCGAAGGGAGAAAUUCAUUCGCGUUUCGAUGUUGGCGCGAGGCGGUCGCGCGACGGAGAGGGUUCGCCCGAUCCGCGCCUUCCGUUUCCGCGAUCCGACGUCGAACGCGUGCACUUUUCUCCUGGUAGGACGUCGCGAUCCGUUGGGCGUCGAUCUACGGCCCGGGGUGGAGCCCGCAUGGCUUCGGCCGCGCGGACCCCCGGUGUCCCGACCGACUCGCUCGACGGUAUACGAAAGGUCGAGGGCCGCUCUCGAAGCGUUCGACUCGUCGCAAGCGCGCCGGAAGCGUCGGAUACCGGAUCCGAUGCCGUUACCGAUCUCCGGUGGCUGUUGGCGGCGAUGUUCUCGGACAGACCCUCGUGACCGAUCGGCGACGCUAUAGCUUUGGGUACUUUCAGGACCCGUCUUGAAACACGGACCAAGGAGUCUAGCAUGUGCGCGAGUCAUUGGGAAUCGCUAAACCUAAAGGCGCAAUGAAAGUAAAGGUUCGUCUCGCACGGACCGAGGGAAGAUGGGCGGUUCGCCGUUAAAAGCGGCCGCUCCGCACUCCCGGGGCGUCUCGUUCUCAUCGCGAGAAGAGGCGCACCAAUAGCGUACACGCUGGGACCCGAAAGAUGGUGAACUAUGCCUGGUC